GAUGAACGCUAGCGGGAGGCCUAAUACAUGCAAGUCGAGCGGUAGAGUGACUUCGGUUGCUUGAGAGCGGCGAACGGGUGAGUAACGCGUACACAAUCUACCUUUAAGAGGGGAAUAGCCCUGGGAAACUGGGAUUAAUGCCCCAUGGCAUCACGAGACGGCAUCGUUUUGUGAUUAAAGCUGAGGUGCUUAGAGAUGAGUGUGCGUCUGAUUAGCUAGUUGGUGCGGUAACGGCGCACCAAGGCGACGAUCAGUAGGGGGCGUGAGAGCGUGGACCCCCCANACGGGUACUGAGACACGGACCCCGACUCCUACGGGAGGCAGCAGUAAGGAAUAUUGGUCAAUGGAGGAAACUCUGAACCAGCCAUCCCGCGUGCAGGAAGAAUGCCCUAUGGGUUGUAAACUGCUUUUAUCUGGGAAGAAAGUCGGGAUUUAUCCUGAUCUGACGGUACCAGAGGAAUAAGCACCGGCUAACUCCGUGCCAGCAGCCGCGGUAAA
rnacentral:rRNA from 1 species